rnacentral:rRNA from 1 species
CAGUCGCCACGGUAACACGAGGGGGGCAAGCGUUGUUCGGAAUUAUUGGGCGUAAAGGGUGCGUAGGCGGUUUGACAAGUCUUAUGUGAAAUCUCUGGGCUCAACCCAGAGUCUGCAUGGGAAACUGUCGAGCUUGAGUAUGGGAGAGGUGAGUGGAAUUCCACGUGUAGCGGUGAAAUGCGUAGAGAUGUGGAGGAACACCAGUGGCGAAGGCGACUCUCUGGUCUGUAACUGACGCUGAGGAGCGAAAGCGUGGGGAGCGAACAGGAUUAGAUACCCCCGUAGUCCCUGUCUCUUAUAC